AGUGCAGUAAGUGACACCUGUGUCUUUGCAGACUCAGCACAGAGAGGCAAGCUGGACUGCCCCUACUUUUGCUUCUGUUCUGAAGGACACGGUCCCAGGCAGUCAGGCCACAUGGAAACACGAAACCACUGACUUACUAAAUUACUUGGUGGUCGUCAUGGCUGGGGCUGCCUAAAGACUGCCAGCUCUGAUGCCCCUGCACAGACCCGGACGCUCGGAGCUCUGAGCCUCUCCCCUCAGCCCCUGCUCGCCCCUUGGCAGCCGCCUGGACGGCUCCACGGAUGGCAUGCCUGCAGUUAUGAGCCCCAAGACACCCAUUUACGGCAGGCGAUAUUUACAAUUUCCAAUACCAGACAAAGAGAAGAUGAGGGUGUAAGAACCUCUCCAUGCAAUGUGGCACCAUUUGAGGAGUACCCUCUGUGUGCCAGACACCAUGCAGCACUCCUAAUUCUCACAAAUAUCUUGGGAAAGAAGUAUAACUAGUCGCAUUUUGCAUAGGAGGAAACUGAGGCCGAAAGACGCUCAGGGACUUGUGUCCUGCCUGACACCGGAGCUUUCCACCUGCCCCCUACUAGCCCAGCCCCCAAGAACCCUCUGUCCUCGGGGACUAGUGACUUAUAUCUGAAGUAGCAUUGGCCGAGCCAAUGUGACAAGAGGGCUACACAAGUGCCCCCUCCCCAAGGCCGUGGACUAUCCUAUCCUGCAGCAGACAAGAAGUGUCUCCCUGGUGCUGCAUGCAUGCAAACAUGGCUGCAUGUGCACGCGACUAUGUGUGCAUAUGCUUCGUGAAGCAGUGAUGUGCCCUGCUCUUAAACAGACUGGCCUCAAAUCUCAGUCACUAGCACGGGAGCUAAGAGCGUGGAUACUGGGAUGCCGCUUACCAUCCGUAUGACCUUGGGCGAGCUACUUAACCUCUUUGUGCCUCUGCGUCUUCAUCUGUGUGAUAAGGAUAGUAAUGGUGCCUUCCUCAGAGACCCACUGACAGCUGCCCGGCUGUGGUGCUUCCUACCCCCAAGACAAUCCCUCUCCAUCUCUUUCUUCCUCAUUAAACCUUGAGAAAGGAGUUGGGGCUGAAGAAAGCAGCCCCUCCCCUAAGCAAAGCUUCCUCUCCCUCCAACUGAAGCCUCCAACUCUGGUUCCUAUAAAGUAAGUGGUUGGAUUGCCGGAUUCUCAGUGGGAACAGCAGACAUAGAGAACAGGCUUUGGAGUCAGACAGAUACAGGCUCCCAUUCAGUCACUUAGGACAUGAGUGAUUUGGCCAAGCUCCCUGGCACCUCCCUGCUCGAUUGAGAUCCUCAGGCCAGCGGCGUCGACGUCACCUGUUAGAAACCAGAAUCUUGGACCCCACCCCCAGAUCACCUGAACCCGAAUCUGUGUUUUAAUAAGAUCCCUGGUGAUUCGUGUGCACAUUACAUUUUAAGAAGCACUGCCUUAGUGGCUGGGCCUCAGCCACCACCUCUGGAAAAUGAAGAUAAUAACAGCCUCUGUCUUGCAGCUUAGUUUGCAAAGAUUAUGAAGAUAUAUAAGAAAACAGUCUGGCAAACUGUAAAGAUGGAACCGCAAAAAAAAAAACAAAAAAACAGAAAAAACUAUUUAUUACUCUGAACCAUUCUGUUGUUUUGUGUCAAACCUCACAUCGUCAGUCAGGAUGGUUCUCAAAUCCACACCUUGUGGACCUACCACUAACCCCCUCCACAUGCCUGCAAACCUACAACAGUGACGGAGAAAACUUUUUCAAGAAAAAAAAAAUGAAUAAAAAGGGAGGCCAGAGGAAACUGGCCCAGCAAAGCCACAUGCUGGCUCAGGGACUAGAUUUGCAAUGCCUACAAAGUCACCAAGGGUUAAGAGCCCUGAGUGGAGUAUUUUUAGAAAGAAUAAAACCAAAAUUUUAGACAAUAAUAAAAAAAAUUGUAAGACUUGGUUUUGCACUGGAGACUUCAAUGGGACUAAGGGAGGAAUGGUAAAACCAAUAGUUGGAGGGACAAAAAGAGAAAAAAAAACCAUCAAGAUGAGCUUGCAGAGCACAAUUUCAAAAAUGUAAAGAAGAUACUGAGGUUAAAUCAACAGAACUUAUCAAGGACAAAAUAGGUAAUAAUCUCAAAACGAUUUGCCCUAAGCCCAUUUAGAACUCCAAAAAAAAAAAAAAAAAGGAAAGUUGGUAUCUGCCAAGAGAAGCAAGAACAUAAGAAACAAAAGUAAGCAUAAAUGUAACAAGAAUAGAUAGACAUGAAAAAAUAACCCACUGGAAAUUUUAGGAAUGAAAUAAUAUUGUCACUGGAA